GACGAACGCUGGCGGCGUGCCUAAUACAUGCAAGUAGGACGCAGUUGCGAACGGGUGAGUAACGCGUAGGUAACUACCUAUUAGAGGGGGAUAACAAUUGGAAACGAUAGCUAAUACCGCAUACUAGUAGAUGGACCUGCGUUGUAUUAGCUAGUAGGUAGGGUAAUGGCCUACCUAGGCAACGAUACAUAGCCGGCCUGGGAGGGUGAUCGGCCUCACUGGGCCUUGGACACGGGCCAAGCUCCUUCGGGAGGCAGCCGUAGGGGAUCUUCGGCAAUGGGGGGCACCCUGACCGAGCAACGGCGCGUGAGUGAAGAAGGGUUUCGGGUCGUAAAGCUCUGUUGUUAAGGAAGCGGUACUUAACCAGAAAGGGACGGCUAACUACGUGCCAGCAGCCGCGGUAAUAC
rnacentral:rRNA from 1 species